rnacentral:rRNA from 1 species
UACGGAGGGUGCGAGCGUUGUCCGGAAUCACUGGGCGUAAAGGGCGCGUAGGUGGCCUGUGGAAGUCUGCGGUGAAAGCCCGGCGCUCAACGCCGGGUCGGCCGUGGAUACUCUCGGGCUCGAGCUCACUAGAGGCAGAUGGAAUUCCUGGUGUAGCGGUGGAAUGCGCAGAUAUCAGGAAGAACACCCGUGGCGAAGGCGGCUCUCUGGAACGCAACUGACGCUGAGACGCGAAAGCGUGGGGAGCAAACAGG